rnacentral:rRNA from 1 species
UACAGAGGUCCCAAGCGUUGUUCGGAUUCAUUGGGCGUAAAGGGUGCGUAGGCGGCGCGGUAAGUCGGGUGUGAAAUCUUGGAGCUUAACUCCGAAACUGCAUUCGAUACUGCCGUGCUUGAGGACUGGAGAGGAGACUGGAAUUUACGGUGUAGCAGUGAAAUGCGUAGAGAUCAUGAGGAAGACCAGUGGCGAAGGCGGGUCUCUGGACAGUUCCUGACACUGAGGCACGAAGGCCAGGGGAGCAAACGGG